rnacentral:rRNA from 1 species
UCCUACGGGAGGCAGCAGAGGGGAAUUUUCCGCAAUGGGCGAAAGCCUGACGGAGCAACGCCGCGUGAGGGACGAAGGCCUCUGGGCUGUAAACCUCUUUUCUCAAGGAAGAAGAUCUGACGGUACUUGAGGAAUAAGCCACGGCUAAUUCCGUGCCAGCAGCCGCGGUAAUACGGGAGUGGCAAGCGUUAUCCGGAAUUACUGGGCGUAAAGCGUCCGCAGGCGGCCUUUCAAGUCUGCUGUUAAAACGUGGAGCUUAACUCCAUCAAGGCAGUGGAAACUGUUGGGCUUGAGUGUGGUAGGGGCAGAGGGAAUUCCCGGUGUAGUGGUGAAAUGCGUAGAUAUCGGGAAGAACACCAGUGGCGAAGGCGCUCUGCUGGGCCAUAACUGACGCUCAUGGACGAAAGCCAGGGGAGCGAAAGGGAUUAGAUACCCCUGUAGUCCUGGCCGUAAACGAUGAACACUAGGUGUCGGGGGAAUCGACCCCUUCGGUGUCGUAGCCAACGCGUUAAGUGUUCCGCCUGGGGAGUACGCACGCAAGUGUGAAACUCAAAUGAAUUGACGG